AAGCUCGUAGUAGAAGCUCGGGCUCCGGCCGACCGGUCCGCCUCACCGCGUGCACUGGUUCGGCCGGGCCUUCACCUUCUGCGGAACCGCAUCCCCUUCACUGGGGGUGUCGGGGAAACAGGACGUUUACUGUGAAAAAAUUAGAGUGCUCCAGGCAGGCCUAUGCUCGAAUAGAUUAGCAUGGAAUAAUGGAAUAGGACGUGUGGUCUUAUUUCGUUGGUUUCUAGGACCGCCGUAAUGAUUAAUAGGGACAGUCGGGGGCAUCAGUAUUCAAUUGUCAGAGGUGAAAUUCUUGGAUUUAUUGAAGACUAACUACUGCGAAAGCAUUUGCCAAGGAUGUUUUCAUUAAUCAGGAACGAAAGUUAGGGGAUCGAAGACGAUCAGAUACCGUCGUAGUCUUAACCAUAAACUAUGCCGACUAGGGAUCGGACGAUGUUAUUUUUUGACUCGUUCGGCACC
rnacentral:rRNA from 1 species